GCUUGGGGGUUCCUGGUUAUCACCGUGUCGGUUUGCCUUUCCUUUGCGAUCGUAGAUCUUACUUUCUCUUCUUCCCUCUUCAUAGAGAUGAGGUCCUUUGUGCUUUUAAUGUAGUUCAGCCUUCAUUUUUCGUUAGGGUAGGGGGUCGCGACGGCGUAGAGGGGUUGUCGUGAAAGUUUUUUUUUCUUGCCGGGUCUCGAACGGUCGGACUUUAGUCGGCGUCGCAAUGAGG
rnacentral:lncRNA from 1 species